rnacentral:rRNA from 1 species
UUAGAGUUUGAUCCUGGCUCAGGACGAACGCUGGCGGCGCGCCUAACACAUGCAAGUCGAACGAGCGAGAGAGAGCUUGCUUUCUCAAGCGAGUGGCGAACGGGUGAGUAACGCGUGAGGAACCUGCCUCAAAGAGGGGGACAACAGUUGGAAACGACUGCUAAUACCGCAUAAGCCCACAGCUCGGCAUCGAGCAGAGGGAAAAGGAGCAAUCCGCUUUGAGAUGGCCUCGCGUCCGAUUAGCUAGUUGGUGAGGUAACGGCCCACCAAGGCAACGAUCGGUAGCCGGACUGAGAGGUUGAACGGCCACAUUGGGACUGAGACACGGCCCAGACUCCUACGGGAGGCAGCAGUGGGGAAUAUUGCACAAUGGGGGAAACCCUGAUGCAGCGACGCCGCGUGGAGGAAGAAGGUCUUCGGAUUGUAAACUCCUGUUGUUGAGGAAGAUAAUGACGGUACUCAACAAGGAAGUGACGGCUAACUACGUGCCAGCAGCCGCGGUAAAACGUAGGUCACAAGCGUUGUCCGGAAUUACUGGGUGUAAAGGGAGCGCAGGCGGGAAGACAAGUUGGAAGUGAAAUCUAUGGGCUCAACCCAUAAACUGCUUUCAAAACUGUUUUUCUUGAGUAGUGCAGAGGUAGGCGGAAUUCCCGGUGUAGCGGUGGAAUGCGUAGAUAUCGGGAGGAACACCAGUGGCGAAGGCGGCCUACUGGGCACCAACUGACGCUGAGGCUCGAAAGUGUGGGUAGCANACAGGAUUAGAUACNCUGGUAGUCCACACCGUAAACGAUGAUUACUAGGUGUUGGAGGAUUGACCCCUUCAGUGCCGCAGUUAACACAAUAAGUAAUCCACCUGGGGAGUACGACCGCAAGGUUGAAACUCAAAGGAAUUGACGGGGGCCCGCACAAGCAGUGGAGUAUGUGGUUUAAUUCGACGCAACGCGAAGAACCUUACCAAGUCUUGACAUCCCUUGACGAACAUAGAAAUAUGUUUUCUCUUCGGAGCAAGGAGACAGGUGGUGCAUGGUUGUCGUCAGCUCGUGUCGUGAGAUGUUGGGUUAAGUCCCGCAACGAGCGCAACCCUUACUGUCAGUUACUACACAAGAGGACUCUGGCAGGACUGCCGUUGACAAAACGGAGGAAGGUGGGGAUGACGUCAAAUCAUCAUGCCCUUUAUGACUUGGGCUACACACGUACUACAAUGGCGUUAAACAAAGAGAAGCAAGACCGCGAGGUGGAGCAAAACUCAGAAACAACGUCCCAGUUCGGACUGCAGGCUGCAACUCGCCUGCACGAAGUCGGAAUUGCUAGUAAUCGUGGAUCAGCAUGCCACGGUGAAUACGUUCCNCGGGCCAUUGUACACACCGCCCGUC